UUAUCAACCCCAUGACAGAAGUCUCCAGCAUAGUGUCCAACUCAAUUCCCAGCACACUCCUAUGCAGUGAGUGUUGGUGCUGAUGAUGAGUGGAGAGGAUAUCGGAGGAGGAAGAUAAACGAGGCCCUGCAAGAAUGGAACCCCUGGGAAGAAGAUGACGAUCUAUGAACAAGAAAACACACCCUCAACCAGACACUGAAUCUGCCAGCACCUUGAUCUUGGACUUCCCAGCCUCCAGAACUGUGCACAGUUUUUUUCUGGUGCGUUCUCUCAGCUGGCAGCAGAGCAAAGAAUGAG